GAGAGGCCAUAAUCUUCCAUGGAAGCUCAGGCAAAGAACUACUACAGAAGUGAAGAAACGAGUGUACAUAUGCCCUGAGCCAACAUGCGUUCACCACAAUCCAGCUCGUGCACUAGGAGAUCUAACAGGCAUUAAGAAGCAUUUUAGCCGUAAACAUGGCGAGAAGAAAUGGAAAUGCGACAAGUGCUCUAAGAAAUAUGCAGUUCAAUCUGAU
rnacentral:misc_RNA from 1 species